AAUUCUAAUUCUAGGCAUGUAAACAUCUAUUGCUAUUAUAAAUUCCUGAUGAAUUGGUCUUUAUUUAGUUAGUUAUUUUUUGCGGUAAUAGGGAUUGAACCCAGAGUAUUCCACCACUGAGCCACAGCCCCAUGAUAUUUUGAGACAGGUUUUCACUAAGUUGUUAAGGUUGGCCUCCAACUUGUGAUCCUCCUGCCUCAGUCUCCAAGUCACUGAGAUUGUAGGCUUGUGCCAUUGUGCCCAGUUUGAAUUGACCUUUUUAUCAUUAUAUCCCCCUUUAAAUCUGGGAAUAUUCUGUAUUCUGAAGACUACUUCAAGGUUACUUCAGUUUUUGUAUGUGUAUGUGUUUUUCCAUUUACUUUGAGCUUUGCCAAUAUCUAUUCUUAAGAGCAUCUCAUGUAGAUAUCAUAUAAUUGUAUCUCACUUUUUCAUUCAUUUUUGACAGUUUCUGUCUCUUUAUUGGUAGUGUUUUAUCUAUUCACAUUUAAUGUAGUUUUUGAUGUGGUUGUACUUAGCUCUGUCAUUUUACUAUUGUUUUCUUUUGUGUCAUGUGUUUUUCAUAGUUUCUUGCCUUUGAAUUAUUCUUUUUUGAAUUCCAUGUGAUCAGCUAGCUUUUAAAUGUAUUACAUUCUUAAAAAAACAGGUUCUCCAGGGAUUUCUUUCAUUUGCAACAAUAUAAAUCUGUUUACCACCCUUUAUCCUUUAUGCAUUAGUUGUCACAUAUGUAUACAAACACUAGAACCUCCCCCAAAACAGGGUUAUAACUUUUGCUUUAAACAUGCAUAUGUGUUUUUAAAAAUUAAGAGAAAAAAAUACUCCUUUAUAUUCACCCUUAUAUUUACCAUUUCUGGUAUUCUCUAUUUCUUUUAGAUACAAGUUCCAUCUAGAAACAUUUCCUUUGGCCUGAAAACUUCCUUUAACACUUCUAGUAGUUUGUUGGGAACAAAUUCUUGAUUUUUGUUUAUCUGAAAAUAUCUUUAUUUCAUAUUCCUAUGUGUGUGCAGGAGCAUACUCCCUCCUCUUUCCCUCCUUCCCUCUCUUUCCCUUUUUUCCCCUCAGCACUGGAGAUUGAGCCUGGAGACCUUCUGUUUUUAUUUUGAGAUAGGGUCUUGCUAAAUUGCCUAGGCUAGCCUUGAACUUGUGAUCCUCCUGCCUAAGCUUUGCAGUUGUUGGAUUAUAGGCGUGUACCACCAUGCCUGGCUUCAUCUUUAUUCUUAAAAGAUAUUUUUAGGAUAACAGGAUUUAUCCUUUCAUGAAUUACAGGAUUCUGGUUUGAUAUGUCCCCUUACUUCUUCUAAUACUUUAAAUAAAGAUAUUCCAGUGUCUUGUGACCUCCAUUGUUUUGUUUUGAUUUUUGUUGUUGUUUAAUUUUUUUUAAAGUUGGACACAGUACCUUUAUUUUAUUUAUUUAUUUUUAUGUGGUGCUGAAGAUCGAACCCAGUGCCUUCCACAGGCUAGGUGAGCGCUCUACCGCUGAGCCACAACCCCAGCCCCUCCAUUGUUUCUUAAUAGUCAUUGAGAUUACUUGCAAGUAAUGUGUCAUUAUUUUCUGAUUGAAGAUUUUCCCUUGAGCUUUGGUUUGCCCAUGAUGUUGGAAGGUUGGUUUUCUUUGUAUUUUUCCUGUUUGAGAUUUACUCACAUCCCCAUAUAUGUAAAUUAAUGUCUUUGGUCACAUUGGGGAAGUUCUUGACCACCAUUUCUUAAGUAUUUACUUUUUUCCUGUCCCGUUUUCAUUGUCUUGCUGGAACUCCAGCUAUACAUAUGAUAGACCUUCCUAUUUUGUCCAUCAAAUCUCUAAGUUGAGUUUGUUGUUCUCCUUUUUCCCUUCCUCCUCCUUUAAAAUCAUUCCCCCCCUUUCUUUAGAUUGGCUGAUUUGUAUUACUCUUUAAGUACUCUCAUCUCC
rnacentral:lncRNA from 1 species